rnacentral:rRNA from 1 species
CAGUAGCCGCGGGAAUACGAGGGGAGCUAGCGUUGUUCGGAAUUACUGGGCGUAAAGCGCGCGUAGGCGGCUUUUUAAGUCAGAGGUGAAAGCCCGGGGCUCAACCCCGGAAUUGCCUUUGAAACUGGAAAGCUAGAAUCUUGGAGAGGUCAGUGGAAUUCCGAGUGUAGAGGUGAAAUUCGUAGAUAUUCGGAAGAACACCAGUGGCGAAGGCGACUGACUGGACAAGUAUUGACGCUGAGGUGCGAAAGCGUGGGGAGCAAACAGGAUUAGAUACCCGAGUAGUCCCUGUCUCUUAUAC